rnacentral:tRNA from 1 species
UAAAUUUUAGUUUAAGUAAAAUAGUUCAUUUACAUUGAAAAGUUUUUAAUAGAAAGGUAAAAAAUUUAA